GAUGAACGCUGGCGGCGUGCUUAACACAUGCAAGUCGAACGGAAAGGCCCUGCUUUUGUGGGGUGCUCGAGUGGCGAACGGGUGAGUAACACGUGAGUAACCUGCCCUUGACUUUGGGAUAACUUCAGGAAACUGGGGCUAAUACCGGAUAGGAGCUCCUGCUGCAUGGUGGGGGUUGGAAAGUUUCGGCGGUUGGGGAUGGACUCGCGGCUUAUCAGCUUGUUGGUGGGGUAGUGGCUUACCAAGGCUUUGACGGGUAGCCGGCCUGAGAGGGUGACCGGCCACAUUGGGACUGAGAUACGGCCCAGACUCCUACGGGAGGCAGCAGUGGGGAAUAUUGCACAAUGGGCGGAAGCCUGAUGCAGCAACGCCGCGUGCGGGAUGACGGCCUUCGAGUUGUAAACCGCUUUCGCCUGUGACGAAGCGUGAGUGACGGUAAUGGGUAAAGAAGCACCGGCUAACUACGUG
rnacentral:rRNA from 1 species